AGAGCCCUGAGAUGGAGCGAGGAGAGUGGCUUCUCCAGACGCGCUCGCUUCUCUUCCACUUCCCCAGCGAGGCGAGCCCGACGAGCAGCUGAAAAUUUGAAAUGCUGUCGUCUAGGUCUCUGGGAUCGUCGGAACGCGUAUCUGUUGAAGAAUAAUGCAGCAACUGGUGGUCCAAGAUUGUAAAAUGCUGAGAAGUCUCUGAUGUUAAAAUUUGGCCGCCAUCCUGGUGCAUAAACUGUUUGCCGUGCUUCCUGUUUGAAUAGCACAAAAACAAUCCGAUGAAUUCCGGCUGGUGGCCGUGGAGCUUCAUAGGGAACUAUUUCAUUGCCUGAAACAUUAUGUGUUGUAUAUUAGAGUUGCUUACUCAACUUUCUAAAGGUGGAGAAUAGAUUUGACCAUUUCACGUUACA